UACGUAGGGGGCGAGCGUUGUCCGGAUUUAUUGGGCGUAAAGAGCGUGUAGGCGGCCAGGUAGGUCUGCUGUGAAAACUCGAGGCUUAACCUCGAGAUGUCGGCGGAAACCAUCUGGCUAGAGUCCGGAAGAGGAGAAUGGAAUUCCCGGUGUAGCGGUGAAAUGCGCAGAUAUCGGGAAGAACACCCGUGGCGAAGGCGGUUCUCUGGGCCUGUACUGACGCUGAGGAACGAAAGCGUGGGGAGCGAACAGG
rnacentral:rRNA from 1 species